GAUGAACGCUGGCGGCGUGCCUAAUACAUGCAAGUCGAGCGAACGGACGAGAAGCUUGCUUCUCUGAUGUUAGCGGCGGACGGGUGAGUAACACGUGGAUAACCUACCUAUAAGACUGGGAUAACUUCGGGAAACCGGAGCUAAUACCGGAUAAUAUUUUGAACCGCAUGGUUCAAAAGUGAAAGACGGUCUUGCUGUCACUUAUAGAUGGAUCCGCGCUGCAUUAGCUAGUUGGUAAGGUAACGGCUUACCAAGGCAACGAUGCAUAGCCGACCUGAGAGGGUGAUCGGCCACACUGGAACUGAGGCACGGUCCAGACGCCUACGGGAGGCAGCAGUAGGGAAUCUUCCGCAAUGGGCGAAAGCCUGACGGAGCAACGCCGCGUGAGUGAUGAAGGUCUUCGGAUCGUAAAACUCUGUUAUUAGGGAAGAACAUAUGUGUAAGUAACUGUGCACAUCUUGACGGUACCUAAUCAGAAAGCCACGGCUAACUACGU
rnacentral:rRNA from 1 species